UACAGAGGGGGCAAGCGUUGUUCGGAAUUACUGGGCGGAAAGGGCGCGUAGGCGGCCUUCUAAGUCGAACGGGAAAUCCCCGGGCUCAACCCGGGAACUGCGUCCGAGACUGGAAGGCUUGAAUCCGGGAGAGGGAUGUGGAAUUCCAGGUGUAGCGGUGAAAUGCGUAGAUAUCAGGAGGAACACCGGUGGUGUAGACGGCUUUCUGGACCGUAACUGACGCUGAGACACGAAAGCGUGGGUAGCAAACAGG
rnacentral:rRNA from 1 species